UUGCUUAAGUCAUAUUUUUAGAUUUACUUUUGUUGGGUAUGUAAUAUUAGUAAAACUAAACUCAAAUUAAAAAUGAUAAAUCCUCUCUAAUCAGCUUUUAUUACUCUCUUUCUCCUUUUAGAAACCCUUGUAUUGUAUCCCUUGAGGUUGUCGGUGUGAUCGACCUGAAGCAGAUCGUCAUUCGGUUUUCUGUUUGCUUUUUCAUUUCUUCCUUUUGCUUCCGGCAGAAUAAUGUCUGAAACUUGCCUCCUCUCUUUCUUCGACCACCUUGCAAGGGUUCCUUACCUCUUCCACUCGGAACAUCAAGAUUGGCCACCCUAUCCCUCUGUUUGUUUGUUUGGAUUGCUAUCUCUUCGGUUCUCUGUUGAUUGGAGCUCGAUGGAGCUCAGGAUUCGACGCACUAGCCUAUUCAACUGGUGGUUGAAGCCGCUUUGAUGGCCACGGGUUCUUCCUUCAUUGUCGGUUUCGUUCUGCUCCUUAGAGAUUGAUGGUUUUUUUUUUUGGGGUUGUCACAGCAUGGUCUCUCUCCAAAGGUGUUACAUGCCAACGAGAAGUACAUCUGUUGCCUUUGCCUUCAGCUACUUCGACGUUCCUUGGCGCUCUCCCCAAUGAUGGCAAAACAAUGGUGUUCUACAGGCUAUAGUUGGGUUUCUCUGGCCCAUUUUCAGCCCAUGGGCUUUUUUGUGUAUUUCUGGUUUUUUUUUACAUGAUCUAUUUCUUAAUGAAAAAUAGAUGUUUGGUAUAAGAUACAUGUAAACUUAGGGUGUUGGCGUAAUCAGUUUACGUCAUUGACCAUUUUAACUCUAUGUUAGUUAUAUAAGAGAUAUAUGCAAACAAUAAACAUCAAAUACAGAAAAAAAAAAAAAGCUUGCUGUGGAACUUAGUUUAAGGACAAAAAGCUAAAUGAGAUCCAAAAGUAUACAUCAUUUAUAUGUUGCGAUCUAAUGCCUUUACUUUAUUGUUUCGUCCUAAUGUAUUUGUAAAUUUUCGAACAGUUUAGUUUAAUAAAAUUUCAUUAUUCAUGUU
rnacentral:lncRNA from 1 species